CCUACGGGUGGCAGCAGUGAGGAAUAUUGGUCAAUGGACGAGAGUCUGAACCAGCCAAGUAGCGUGAAGGAUGACUGCCCUAUGGGUUGUAAACUUCUUUUAUAUGGGAAUAAAACGUUCCACGUGUGGGAUUUUGUAUGUACCAUAUGAAUAAGGAUCGGCUAACUCCGUGCCAGCAGCCGCGGUAAUACGGAGGAUCCGAGCGUUAUCCGGAUUUAUUGGGUUUAAAGGGAGCGUAGGUGGAUUGUUAAGUCAGUUGUGAAAGUUUGCGGCUCAACCGUAAAAUUGCAGUUGAAACUGGCAGUCUUGAGUACAGUAGAGGUGGGCGGAAUUCGUGGUGUAGCGGUGAAAUGCUUAGAUAUCACGAAGAACUCCGAUUGCGAAGGCAGUUCACUGGACUGCAACUGACACUGAGGCUCGAAAGUGUGGGUAUCAAACAGGAUUAGAUACGCCUGUAGUC
rnacentral:rRNA from 1 species